rnacentral:lncRNA from 1 species
AAAUAUUAGUUAGUAAUAAUAACCAUUUAACAAUAACAUCAACAUUUAAAAAAAAUAAAAAUGAACUAAAAUGAAAUGAUCAAGAAAAUUAAGGAUAAAAAUGGAAGUUAUGUAAAUUAAAGGGUAAAAAUAUAAAUAGGGAAAUUAAAAAUGCUGGAAAUUAAAUAACGGAAAGUAAAAGGGUGGAACUAAAUAAACAGGGGAUUAAGAUGAAAUUUAAAAAAAAAAUUAAAGUAUGAAUUGCAAUAAAAACAAAUAAAGC